CCCAUCUGGGCAGAGGAUCCUCCUCGGAUCAUCCCCGCUGCCACAAGGACAAGAAGAAGUCUGUGAGAUGUUUGGAGGAGCAUUGGAGGAGCAUGGAGCAGAAGUCUGAGACCUUCUAACAAGCCACACAGAAGGAAGCUCAAGCCUCGUCGGUGCUCUCUCAUGUCAGAGUGGCUGCAGCUCUGCCUUGUGUAACUGAGCUGAAACUUGCUUUGUGCAGUGCAAGGGUCAGCCUCUGGAGAUUUUCCAUAGUUCAUAAACUUGAUCUGUUACCGAGGUAUUGAUUUGUAGCUCUUUUCCAAGAGGACCUCUUCACCUGUGACUACUUCUGGGCAUUUUAAAGCAGAAUAUAAUGCCUGUCUCUAGGCAGUAAGCAGUGGUGUCAACUGCCUCAGUUCUUAACUAAACAAUUUAUGCUUUUCAAUAAAGAAUGUACUGCUGGAGGAAAGAAGUUAAAGAUCCAA